UACGAAGGGGACUAGCGUUGUUCGGAAUCACUGGGCGUAAAGCGCACGUAGGCGGAUGUGUCAGUCAGGGGUGAAAUCCCGGGGCUCAACCUCGGAACUGCCUUUGAUACAGCACGUCUCGAGUCCGGAAGAGGUGGGUGGAAUUCCUAGUGUAGAGGUGAAAUUCGUAGAUAUUAGGAAGAACACCGGUGGCGAAGGCGGCCCACUGGUCCGGUACUGACGCUGAGGUCCGAAAGCGUGGGGAGCAAACAGG
rnacentral:rRNA from 1 species